UACGUAGGUGGCAAGCGUUGUCCGGAUUUACUGGGCGUAAAGGGCGUGCAGGCGGUUUGUCUAGUCUAGGGUGAAAGCUCCCGGCUUAACUGGGAGAGGUCCUUGGAUACUGGCAAACUUGAGGGAGGCAGAGGAAAGUGGAAUUCCAGGUGUAGCGGUGAAAUGCGUAGAUAUCUGGAGGAAUACCGGUGGCGAAGGCGGCAUCCUGGACCGACAUUGACGCUGAACGGCGAAAGCUAGGGGAGCAAACGGG
rnacentral:rRNA from 1 species